rnacentral:rRNA from 1 species
AGAGUUGAUCGGCUCAGAACGAACGCUGGCGGCGCGUUUAAGCAUGCAAGUCGAGCGGCAAGGGCCUUCGGGCCCCUAGAGCGGCGGACGGGUGAGUAACACGUGGACAAUCUGCCCCCCGGCCCGGGAUAGCCCAGGGAAACCUGGAUUAAUACCGGAUGAGACGGGACCCGCGAUGGCGGGAUCCGGGAAAGGCGCUGCGGCGCCGCCGGGGGAUGAGUCUGCGUCCCAUUAGCUAGACGGCGGGGUAACGGCCCACCGUGGCGACGAUGGGUAGCCGGCCUGAGAGGGUGGACGGCCACAUUGGAACUGAGACACGGUCCAGACUCCUACGGGAGGCAGCAGCUAAGAAUCUUCCGCAAUGGGCGAAAGCCUGACGGAGCGACGCCCGCGUGAACGAAGAAGGCCGUGAGGUUGUAAAGUUCUUUUCGGGAGGGGGAACAACCGUGGCAGGGAAUGGCCGCGGGAUGACGUGAAUCCCGGAAUAAGCCCCGGCUAACUACGUGCCAGCCGCUGC